AGUCUUCAGAAUCCGUGCCGAGAUUUUGUCAGACACCAGACCAUCAGUACUGGUAAGAUUCCCAAAAUAAAUGAAACA
rfam:Schistosoma haematobium scaffold1910_6, whole genome shotgun sequence.